UUCUGCUUGAAAAUUUUUACAUAAAAUUAAAGUCUGUCAUAAUACUUUAUCUUCUGUUUGUGGUUAGAGUAGGUGUCUUUACUUUCUUUAUGAUCUCUUUGUUCAGGUAAGAAGGGCUAUACUGGAGUGAAAUCAUAACUUUAGUUACAUCGUAACAUUAGAAACGGGCACACUCUUGUAAACAACUGCAACAAAUGGAGAUUAUGCUUAACAGAAAAUAUAUAAAAAUAUUACAUGUACCACGUGUGUUCAUGUUAAUAAGCAAAUUGUUGAAAGUUAAUAUCUCUAUAUUCAAGAUAUAGCUAUUAAAUAUGUAAUACAUAACAUUAAUACACAUUACACAUGUAGUAUUUUAUUUAUUAUUUCUAAACUGUCACUUGUUUUAUUACUCAUAUUUUUGAUGCAGUAAAAAACAAACUAGGAAUUAAUCCUUUAAAGAAGUAUAAAAAUAAAUCGCGAUCAAGGAACUCGCUGGAGUAUAAAUUGGCAUAAGUAGAUACUAAAGUCUGGUAUUUUUAUACUACCCAGAAAGCUAUUAUAAUAAUUCAAGUGAAGGGUGAAUGACCACAAUGUUGAUUAAAAAAAUAGAUCUGUAGAAGAUUACUGAUAAAGUACACAUGUGAAAUCAACUGGUCCAGUGGCCUCUGCAAUUAUAUGGAAAGCUUUAUUCAUACUAUACACAUCUAUGUCUUUCUCCUGCUACUGAACAUUUUUGAUCUAGGUCAACAGUUCAUGUUAUAGAGACAGU
rnacentral:lncRNA from 1 species